rnacentral:rRNA from 1 species
UACGAAGGGGGCGUAGCGUUGUUCGGAAUUACUGGGCGGUAAAGACGCACGUAGGCGGAUUGUUAAGUGAGGGGUGGAAAUCCCCGGGGCGUCAACCCCCGGAACCUGCCUUUCAUACUGGCAAUCUCGAGUCCGAGAGAGGUGAGUGGAAUUCCGAGUGUAGAGGUGAAAUUCGUAGAUAUUCGGAGGAACACCAGUGGCGAAGGCGGCUCACUGGCUCGGUACUGACGCUGAGGUGCGAAAGCGUGGGGAGCAAACAGGAUUAGAUACCCGCGUAGU